GCGGGUCUCUUGGAGGGAAGCUGCCUGUUGAGAGGGGUGGCUGGAAAGAGGGGGAGGAUCGACUCCUUCAACUUCUUGCAAGUUCCCAUCCCGCAGUCCCAAGGGACACAGCAGCGUUGUGGGAGAAUGUCACUGUGCAGCCAGCGUGGAGCAGUGCGUCCCCUCCACAGAGGCAGCAAUGGAAUCUCAGUGGAGGAGCCCUCGCAGAUGAAAGUUUGCUGAGCAGAUGGAAUGGGGCAUGCUGCCUACUCGUGAGGAAUCAGGGCCAGACCGUUUGCUGACCGAGCAAUGUUGGGGUAAA